UUGGGAGCUUACUAGCUUUGGAGUCAUGGGAACUCCGAAGUUAAGCAAGUUUGGGCUAGAGCAAUCUCAGGAUGGGUGACCUACUGGGAAGUUGCUCGUGAGUUUCCAGA
rnacentral:rRNA from 1 species